UACGGGGGGGGGCAAGGCGUUGUUCGGAAUUACUGGGCGUAAAGGGCUCGUAGGCGGCCAACUAAGUCAUACGUGAAAUCCCUCGGCUAACCGGGGAACUGCGUCUGAUACUGGAUGGCUUGAGUUCGGGAGAGGGAUGCGGAAUUCCAGGUGGUAGCGGUGAAAUGCGCAGAUAUCAGGAGGAACACCGAUGGCGAAGGGCAGGUCUCUGGGCGAUUAACGUGACGCUGAGGAGCGAAAGCAUGGGGAGCGAACAGG
rnacentral:rRNA from 1 species